rnacentral:rRNA from 1 species
UACGUAGGGACCAAGCGUUGUUCGGAUUUACUGGGCGUAAAGGGCGCGUAGGCGGCGUGGUAAGUCAGCUGUGAAAUCUCCGAGCUUAACUCGGAACGGUCAGCUGAUACUGCUGUGCUAGAGUACAGAAGGGGCAAUCGGAAUUCUUGGUGUAGCGGUGAAAUGCGUAGAUAUCUGGAGGAAUACCGGUGGCGAAGGCGGCAUCCUGGACCGGCAUUGACGCUGAUGAGCGAAAGCUAGGGGAGCAAACGGG